rnacentral:misc_RNA from 1 species
GAUGAAGAACGUAGCAAAAUGCGAUAAGUAAUGCGAAUUGCAGAUUUCAGUGAGUCAUCGAAUCUUUGAACGCACAUUGCGCCCGCCAGUAUUCUGGCGGGCAUGCCUGUUCGAGCGUCAUUUCAACCAUCAAGCCCCCGGGCUUGCGUUGGGGCCCUGCGGCUGCCGCAGGCCCCGAAAAGCAGUGGCGGGCUCGCUGUCACACCGAGCGCAGUAGCGAUUCUCGCUCCGGGCGUCGGCGGCGGGCACCGGCCGUGAAACCCCCCCACAUCCACAAGGUUGACCUCGGAUCAGGUAGGAAUACCCGCUGAACUUAAGCAUAUCAAUAAGCGGAGG